AGUGAACGCUGGCGGUAGGCCUAACGCAUGCAAGUCGAACGGCAGCACAGUAAUAGCUUGCUCUUACGGGUGGCGAGUGGCGGACGGGUGAGGAAUACAUCGGAAUCUACUUUUUCGUGGGGGAUAACGUAGGGAAACUUACGCUAAUACCGCAUACGACCUACGGGUGAAAGCAGGGGAUCUUCGGACCUUGCGCGAUUGAAUGAGCCGAUGUCGGAUUAGCUAGUUGGCGGGGUAAAGGCCCACCAAGGCGACGAUCCGUAGCUGGUCUGAGAGGAUGAUCAGCCACACUGGAACUGAGACACGGUCCAGACGCCUAAGGGAGGCAGCAGUGGGGAAUAUUGGACAAUGGGCGCGAGCCUGAUCCAGCCAUACCGCGUGGGUGAAGAAGGCCUUCGGGUUGUAAAGCCCUUUUGUUGGGAAAGAAAAGCAGCAGGUUAAUACCCCGCUGUUCUGACGGUACCCAAAGAAUAAGCACCGGCUAACUUCGUG
rnacentral:rRNA from 1 species